rnacentral:rRNA from 1 species
UACGUAGGUGGCAAGCGUUGUUCGGAAUUAUUGGGCGUAAAGGGCGCGUAGGCGGUUUGUUAAGUCGGUCGUGAAAGCCCGGGGCUCAACCCCGGAGGAUCGACCGAUACUGGCAGACUAGAGUACAGAAGAGGUAACUGGAAUUCCCGGUGUAGCGGUGAAAUGCUUAGAUAUGACAUAGAACACCUAUUGCGAAGGCAGCUAACUACGCGAAUAUUGACGCUGAGGCACGAAAGCGUGGGGAUCAAACAGG